rnacentral:tRNA from 1 species
CGCAAGACUCUUAAUCUUGUGGUCGUGGGUUCGAUCCCACGGUGGGCA